rnacentral:rRNA from 1 species
GGCGGACGGGUGAGUAACGCGUGGGAACGUGCCCUCUUCUACGGAAUAGCCUCGGGAAACUGGGAGUAAUACCGUAUACGCCCUUUGGGGGAAAGAUUUAUCGGAGGAGGAUCGGCCCGCGUUGGAUUAGGUAGUUGGUGGGGUAAUGGCCUACCAAGCCGACGAUCCAUAGCUGGUUUGAGAGGAUGAUCAGCCACACUGGGACUGAGACACGGCCCAGACUCCUACGGGAGGCAGCAGUGGGGAAUCUUAGACAAUGGGCGCAAGCCUGAUCUAGCCAUGCCGCGUGAGCGAUGAAGGCCUUAGGGUUGUAAAGCUCUUUCAGGGGGGAAGAUAAUGACUGUACCCCCAGAAGAAGCCCCCGGCCUAACUCCGUGCCAGCAGCCGCGGUAAUACGGAGGGGGCUAGCGUUGUUCGGAAUUACUGGGCGUAAAGCGCACGUAUGCGGACGAGAAAGUCAGAGGUGAAAU